rnacentral:rRNA from 1 species
UACGAAGGGGGGCUAGCGUUGCUCGGAAUCACUGGGCGUAAAGGGCGCGUAGGCGGCCGGCCAAGUCGGGGGGUGAAAGCCUGUGGCUCAACCACAGAAUGGCCCUCGAUACUGGACGGCUCGAGACCGGAAGAGGUUGGUGGAAUUGCGAGUGUAGAGGUGAAAUUCGUAGAUAUUCGCAAGAACACCUGUGGCGAAAGCGGCGCACUGGACCACAACUGACGCUGAGGCGCGAAAGCUAGGGGAGCAAACAGG